AUUGAACGCUGGCGGCAGGCCUAACACAUGCGAGUCGAGCGGAUGAAGGGAGCUUGCUCCUGGAUUCAGCGGCGGACGGGUGAGUAAUGCCUAGGAAUCUGCCUGGUAGUGGGGGAUAACGUCCGGAAACGGGCGCUAAUACCGCAUACGUCCUGAGGGAGAAAGUGGGGGAUCUUCGGACCUCACGCUAUCAGAUGAGCCUAGGUCGGAUUAGCUAGUUGGUGGGGUAAAGGCCUACCAAGGCGACGACCCGUAACUGGUCUGAGAGGAUGAUCAGUCACACUGGAACUGAGACACGGUCCAGACUCCUACGGGAGGCAGCAGUGGGGAAUAUUGGACAAUGGGCGAAAGCCUGAUCCAGCCAUGCCGCGUGUGUGAAGAAGGUCUUCGGAUUGUAAAGCACUCUAAGUUGGGAGGAAGGGCAGUAAGUUAAUACCUUGCUGUUUUGACGUUACCAACAGAAUAAGCACCGGCUAACUUCGUG
rnacentral:rRNA from 1 species